AAACGACUCUCGGCAACGGAUAUCUCGGCUCUCGCAUCGAUGAAGAACGUAGCGAAAUGCGAUACUUGGUGUGAAUUGCAGAAUCCCGUGAACCAUCGAGUCUUUGAACGCAAGUUGCGCCCAAAGCCAUUUGGCCAAAGGCACGUCUGCCUGGGCGUCACGCAU
rnacentral:rRNA from 2 species